CAGGUCCAGCUGCAGCAGUCUGGACCUGAGCUGGUGAAGCCUGGGGCUUCAGUGAAGAUAUCCUGCAAGGCUUCUGGCUACAGCUUCACAAGCUACUAUAUACACUGGGUGAAGCAGAGGCCUGGACAGGGACUUGAGUGGAUUGGAUGGAUUUAUCCUGGAAGUGGUAAUACUAAGUACAAUGAGAAGUUCAAGGGCAAGGCCACACUGACGGCAGACACAUCCUCCAGCACUGCCUACAUGCAGCUCAGCAGCCUAACAUCUGAGGACUCUGCGGUCUAUUACUGUGCAAGA